rnacentral:rRNA from 1 species
AGGGGCAGCGGGGUUGUAGCAAUACAACUGCCGGCGACCGGCGCACGGGUGAGUAACACGUAUGUAACCUGCCCUCUGCAGGGGGAUAAGCGGAAGAAAUUCCGUCUAAUACCGCAUAAUACAAUUUGGAGACAUCUCCGGGUUGUCAAAGGAGUGAUCCGGCAGAGGAUGGACAUGCGGCGCAUUAGCUAGUCGGCGGGGUAACGGCCCCCCGAGGCUACGAUGCGUAGGGGUUCUGAGAGGAAGGUCCCCCACACUGGUACUGAGACACGGACCAGACUCCUACGGGAGGCAGCAGUGAGGAAUAUUGGUCAAUGGGCGGAAGCCUGAACCAGCCAAGUCGCGUGAGGGAAGACGGUCCUAUGGAUUGUAAACCUCUUUUGCAGGGGAGCAAGGCGCGGUACGUGUACCGCGAAGGAGAGUACCCUGAGAAAAAGCAUCGGCUAACUCCGUGCCAGCAGCCGCGGUAAUACGGAGGAUGCGAGCGUUAUCCGGAUUUAUUGGGUUUAAAGGGUGCGCAGGCGGACUGUUAAGUCAGCGGUAAAAUGUCGGUGCUCAACACCGGCCGGCCGUUGAAACUGGCAGCCUUGAGUGAGCGAGAAGUAUGCGGAAUGCGUGGUGUAGCGGUGAAAUGCAUAGAUAUCACGAAGAACUCCGAUUGCGAAGGCAGCAUACCGGCGCUCAACUGACGCUC